rnacentral:lncRNA from 1 species
AGGGGAGCAGAAAAACAGCAGGAGAAUGGGGAGCGGGAAAGUGGGGGAGCCCUUAAACCCUAAGGAGAUGAUGAAGAUGAAGAAGCCCUCACGACUGGGCCCUAAGGCACCUAAUCCAAAAUCUAAAUUCAACAACAACAAGAAGAAGCUUAAUAACAUUGACAAGAAGAAGAACAAAAACGACAGCAGCGACAAGGUGGGAGCCAAGAAACCCAAGCCUCAAGCAGAGCCCAUUUCACCCUCACAGCAGCUGAAUUUCUUUCUGGACCAAUUUCAAUCCGCCAAUAAUCUUCAGCUUUCUUCCCUCGAAUCCGACUCUCUCAC